rnacentral:tRNA from 1 species
GCCGACGCAGGGGAGUCCGGAGUCCCCGUCACCGGAGUCAAGGUGAAGAUCGCGGGUUCGAAUCCCGUCGUCGGUG